GAAGAAAGCCACUUACAGCUUCAGUGUCUGUGCAUAUGAGUGGAGACUGGAAAUCAUAACUGAAAGCUCCAGCUAGGUACUUCUGGUGUCUUGUUGCUGAACUCCUUCAUUGGCAGUUGCACCCUGGGGUGGAGGCUUGUGGAUGAAGACACCAAGCCAGGUCAUCUCAUGUAGAUGGAUGCAUGGAGCAGACCCUCCAGGCACACAUCUCUUCUGUUCCACCUGCAAGGGUGACUCAGCCAUCUCUCCAUCCCCACCCUCCUUAGGACAUGCCAAGAUCUCCCUCUGUAAUCCAAGGCCUCUUCUGAGAAUAAAGACUGGGUGUGCAGGUCGCUACGAGAGAGAAAGAGAGAGAUGGUGCCGUAGGGGAAUUCCCUCUCCCUGCCACGCAGCCCCCUUUAUUUGUGAUGGUAUAUGAAGCCUGCGUGAGGCAGAGACCUUUGGCUGAUAGAGCCAGUGCCUGCUGAGUAAUACAUGAAAUGCCGUUUGGGUUUCCAAAACCAUCAGUCAGGAACCCUGCUCUGGACCACACAGCACACACUCAUCUGAGCUCACGGAGACAAUCAGGGAUCGGAAUUUCCCCUCCUUCUUUUUGUUCCGGUGGUGAGGAACCACAUUAUCAGGCUGAAGUUAAACCUUUUUGUGAGCUUGGCCAAGAGAUUGCAGCUCUGCAUUUCCAUGCACUGCCACAGGUGAACAGUGUCCGCGGAAGGAAUCAUUACAACAGGGCAACUUCCCCCCCGCCCCGCACU